AAAGUUUGACAGACAAUCGCUGGCGGCCUUGUUGCCGCGAGAGGAAAGUCCGGGCUCCACAGGGCAGGAUGCUGGAUAACGUCCAGUCAGCGCGAGCUGAAGGAUAGUGCCACAGAAAUGGACCGCCGAUGGCCGGCUUAUAGCCGGCACAGGUAAGGGUGGAACCGUGGUGUAAGAGACCACGAGGAGCAUAGGUGACUAUGUUCCUGGUAAACCCCAUCUGGAGCAAGACCGAGAGGACGCAGCAGCCGUUAAGGCUGCAGCCUUAGCCUGAGGCGCGUCCGGGUUGGUUGCUGGAGCCGCUCAGUAAUGUGCGGCCUAGAUAGAUGAUUGUCGCUUCAUCGUGGGAGGGUCGUUCCCGUUAAAACCACCAGAAGUACAGAACCCGGCUUACGGCAAACUUUCCGC
rnacentral:RNase_P_RNA from 1 species